GACGUGUGCUUAGUGCAGAGCAGGGGGGUAUUCUGUAUGUGUCCACCCAGUGGACAUGCCCAUUUCGUCUGCUACUGAAGUACUGAUUGGCUGGGGACGCAUACCUCCUUUUGACGCACCUCAGCCCAGC
rnacentral:lncRNA from 1 species